UGGGCAACCUGCCCUCAGCACUGGGAUAACCCUGGGAAACUGGGUCUAAUACCGGAUAUGACUCCUCAUCGCAUGGGUGGGGGGUGGAAAGCUUUAUUGUGGUUUUGGAUGGACUCGCGGCCUAUCAGCUUGUUGGUGAGGUAAUGGCUCACCAAGGCGACGACGGGUAGCCGGCCUGAGAGGGUGACCCGGCCACACGUGGGACUGAGACACGGCCCAGACUCCUACGGGAGNAG
rnacentral:rRNA from 1 species